GGAGGGGUUUGCGUCCCAUUAGCUAGUUGGUGGGGUAAAGGCCUACCAAGGCGACGAUGGGUAGCUGGUCUGAGAGGAUGGUCAGCCACACUGGAACUGGGACACGGUCCAGACUCCUACGGGAGGCAGCAGUGAGGAAUAUUGCGCAAUGGCCGAAAGGCUGACGCAGCGACGCCGCGUGGGGGAUGACGGCCUUCGGGUUGUAAACCCUUGUCAGUGGGGAAGAAAAAAAUGACUGUACCCACAGAGGAAGCCCCGGCUAACUACGUGCCAGCAGCCGCGGUAAGACGUAGGGGGCGAGCGUUGUUCGGAAUUACUGGGCGUAAAGAGCUCGUAGGCUGGAAAUUAAGUCUUUGAACAAAUCUCCCGGCUCAACCGGGAACCGUUUAGAGAUACUGAUUUUCUUGAGAACAGGAGAGGGGAAUGGAAUUCCUAGUGUAGCGGUGAAAUGCGUAGAUAUUAGGAGGAACACCAGUGGCGAAGGCGGUUCUCUGGCCUGUUUCUGACGCUGAGGAGCGAAAGCUGGGGGAGCGAACGGGAUUAGAUACCCCGGUAGUCCCAGCUGUAAACGAUGGAUACUAGGUGUAGGAGGUAUCGACCCCUUCUGUGCCGCAGUUAACACAAUAA
rnacentral:rRNA from 1 species